CACGUAGGGUGCGAGCGUUGUCCGGAAUUAUUGGGCGUAAAGAGCUCGUAGGCGGUGUGUCGCGUCGGCCGUGAAAACCUGCAGCUUAACUGUGGGCUUGCGGUCGAUACGGGCAUCACUGGAGUUCGGCAGGGGAGACUGGAAUUCCUGGUGUAGCGGUGAAAUGCGCAGAUAUCAGGAGGAACACCGGUGGCGAAGGCGGGUCUCUGGGCCGAUACUGACGCUGAUGAGCGAAAGCGUGGGGAGCGAACAGG
rnacentral:rRNA from 1 species